rnacentral:rRNA from 1 species
CCUACGGGGGGCUGCAGUGAGGAAUAUUGGUCAAUGGCCGGAAGGCUGAACCAGCCAAGCCGCGUGAAGGACGAAGGUGCCAAGCAUUGUAAACUUCUUUUGUCAAGGGACAAAAUCAGGCUCGAGAGCCUGACCGAGGGUACUUGAAGAAAAAGCAUCGGCUAACUCCGUGCCAGCAGCCGCGGUAAUACGGAGGAUGCGAGCGUUAUCCGGAUUUAUUGGGUUUAAAGGGUGCGUAGGCGGGCUGUUAAGUCAGCGGUAAAAGCCCGGGGCUCAACCCGUGAACUGCAUUUGAAACUGUUUCCCUUGAGUGUCGGAGAGGUAAUCGGAAUUCCUUGUGUAGCGGUGAAAUGCGUAGAUAUAAGGAAGAACACCAGUGGCGAAGGCGGAUUACUGGACGAUAACUGACGGUGAGGCGCGAAAGCGUGGGGAGCAAACAGGAUUAGAUACCCGGGUAGUC